rfam:Solemya pervernicosa gill symbiont isolate Sp-SM6 Selarraichensis_sym_scaffold83, whole genome shotgun sequence.
CAGGUCAACUCUGGAGAGCAGCCACUAGACUGGCUCACCGACGGGGCAGGGUGAAAUUCAGGAAAUCCCGGAUUCGGGACGCCCUAUCACUCAAACUCUCAGGUUCGAGGACAGAGGGGCGGCA